CAGCAGCCGCGGUAAUACGUAGGGUGCAAGCGUUAAUCGGAAUUACUGGGCGUAAAGCGUGCGCAGGCGGUUCGGAAAGAAAGAUGUGAAAUCCCAGGGCUCAACCUUGGAACUGCAUUUUUAACUCCCGAACUAGAGUAUGUCAGAGGGGGGUGGAAUUCCACGUGUAGCAGUGAAAUGCGUAGAUAUGUGGAGGAACACCGAUGGCGAAGGCAGCCCCCUGGGAUAAUACUGACGCUCAUGCACGAAAGCGUGGGGAGCAAACAGGAUUAGAUACCCCCGUAGUCCCUGUCUCUUAUAC
rnacentral:rRNA from 1 species